CAGGACUCGCAAGACUCCUACAACCCUGUGAACUUAACUACAAGCACGUUGCUUCGGCGGGUGUCUCGGCGCGGGUUCUCCCGCUCCGGGGCGCUAAGCCCGCCGGCAGCCUACUAUACUCUGUCUCUUUGCGUUGGCAUCUCGAGUACAAACAAACAAGUUA
rnacentral:misc_RNA from 1 species